rnacentral:rRNA from 1 species
UACGUAGGUGGCAAGCGUUAUCCGGAAUUAGUGGGCGUAAAGCGCGCGUAGGCGGUUUUUUAAGUCUGAUGUGAAAGCCCACGGCUCAACCGUGGAGGGUCAUUGGAAACUGGAAAACUUGAGUGCAGAAGAGGAAAGUGGAACUCCAUGUGUAGCGGUGAAAUGCGCAGAGAUAUGGAGGAACACCAGUGGCGAAGGCGACUUUCUGGUCUGUAACUGACGCUGAUGUGCGAAAGCGUGGGGAUCAAA